UCUUGUUUCAUUCUUGCAAGAUAAAGAAACAAAACCACCUAUCCUCUCUCCUUCUUAGCCUCUGAAAACUUCAUGAAACCACCAUAAAUUUCUACAAAAUCAACCAGCAAAAUUCAUUUUUGGUGAAAUCAAGUUGUUCCUCUCUUUUCUGGUAUAUAAACCCUUGAAAAAUCAAAGGGGAAGUGUUUGAGAAAGUGGACGGAUUUGGUUUGUUUACAGCGUAGACGAUUCGAAUGUCCCCAAGUUUGUGAUUGAACUGUUUUGUGGUAAUGUACGGGAUGAAAUCUGAAGACGGCCAUUAUGAAGUAGUCUUUUGGGAGCACUUAUGGAGAUCACAUUUGCAUAUGCACCUUGGUUUUGUAUAGUUU